AGAGUUUGAUCCUGGCUCAGGAUGAACGCUAGCUACAGGCUUAACACAUGCAAGUCGAGGGGCAGCAUGGUCUUAGCUUGCUAAGGCCGAUGGCGACCGGCGCACGGGUGAGUAACGCGUAUCCAACCUGCCUUACACUCUUGGACAGCCUUCUGAAAGGGAGAUUAAUACAAGAUGUUAUCAUGAGUAAGCAUUUUCGCAUGAUUAAAGGUUUACCGGUGUAAGAUGGGGAUGCGUUCCAUUAGAUAGUAGGCGGGGUAACGGCCCACCUAGUCUUCGAUGGAUAGGGGUUCUGAGAGGAAGGUCCCCCACAUUGGAACUGAGACACGGUCCAAACUCCUACGGGAGGCAGCAGUGAGGAAUAUUGGUCAAUGGACGAGAGUCUGAACCAGCCAAGUAGCGUGAAGGAUGAAGGUUCUAUGGAUUGUAAACUUCUUUUAUACGGGAAUAAACGGAUCCACGUGUGGAUUUUUGCAUGUACCGUAUGAAUAAGGAUCGGCUAACUCCGUGCCAGCAGCCGCGGUAAUACGGAGGAUCCGAGCGUUAUCCGGAUUUAUUGGGUUUAAAGGGAGCGUAGAUGGGUUGUUAAGUCAGUUGUGAAAGUUUGCGGCUCAACCGUAAAAUUGCAAUUGAUACUGGCAGUCUUGAGUACAGUUGAGGUAGGCGGAAUUCGUGGUGUAGCGGUGAAAUGCUUAGAUAUCACGAAGAACUCCGAUUGCGAAGGCAGCUUACUAACCUGUAACUGACAUUGAUGCUCGAAAGUGUGGGUAUCAAACAGGAUUAGAUACCCUGGUAGUCCACACGGUAAACGAUGAAUACUCGCUGUAGGCGAUAUACAGUCUGCGGCCAAGCGAAAGCAUUAAGUAUUCCACCUGGGGAGUACGCCGGCAACGGUGAAACUCAAAGGAAUUGACGGGGGCCCGCACAAGCGGAGGAACAUGUGGUUUAAUUCGAUGAUACGCGAGGAACCUUACCCGGGCUUAAAUUGCAACCGAAUAUGGCGGAAACGCUAUAGCUAGCAAUAGCGGUUGUGAAGGUGCUGCAUGGUUGUCGUCAGCUCGUGCCGUGAGGUGUCGGCUUAAGUGCCAUAACGAGCGCAACCCUUGCCGAUAGUUACUAACAGGUUAUGCUGAGGACUCUGUCGGGACUGCCAUCGUAAGAUGUGAGGAAGGUGGGGAUGACGUCAAAUCAGCACGGCCCUUACGUCCGGGGCUACACACGUGUUACAAUGGGGGGUACAGAGGGCUGCUACCACGCAAGUGGAUGCCAAUCCCAAAAACCUCUCUCAGUUCGGAUUGAAGUCUGCAACCCGACUUCAUGAAGCUGGAUUCGCUAGUAAUCGCGCAUCAGCCACGGCGCGGUGAAUACGUUCCCGGGCCUUGUACACACCGCCCGUCAAGCCAUGGGAGCCGGGGGUACCUGAAGUGCGUAACCGCAAGGAGCGCCCUAGGGUAAAACUGGUGACUGGGGCUAAGUCGUAACAAGGUAGCCG
rnacentral:rRNA from 1 species